rnacentral:rRNA from 1 species
CCUACGGGUGGCAGCAGUGGGGGAUAUUGCACAAUGGAGGGAACUCUGAUGCAGCGACGCCGCGUGAGGGAAGAAGGUUUUCGGAUUGUAAACCUCUGUCUUCGGUGACGAAACGAGACGGUAGCCGAGGAGGAAGCCACGGCUAACUACGUGCCAGCAGCCGCGGUAAUACGUAGGUGGCAAGGGUUGUCCGGAAUUACUGGGUGUAAAGGGAGCGUAGGCGGGAAAGCAAGUUGAAUGUUUAAGGUACGGGCUCAACCGGUACAAGCGGUCAAAACUGUUUUUCUUGAGUGGAGUAGAGGUAAGCGGAAUUCCUAGUGUAGCGGUGAAAUGCGUAAAUAUUAGGAGGAACACUCGUGGCGAAGGCGGGUUCCUGGACAUUAACUGACGCUGAGGCACGAAGGCCAGGGGAGCGAAAGGGAUUAGAUACCCGGGUAGUC